GCCCGCCUAGCUCAGUCGGUAGGGCAUGAGAUUCUCAAUUUCACGGUUGUGGGUUCGAGCCCCACGCUGGGCA